AUUGAACGCUGGCGGCAGGCCUAACACAUGCAAGUCGAGCGGAUGAAGGGAGCUUGCUCCUGGAUUCAGCGGCGGACGGGUGAGUAAUGCCUAGGAAUCUGCCUGGUAGUGGGGGAUAACGUCCGGAAACGGGCGCUAAUACCGCAUACGUCCUGAGGGAGAAAGUGGGGGAUCUUCGGACCUCACGCUAUCAGAUGAGCCUAGGUCGGAUUAGCUCGUUGGUGGGGUAAAGGCCUACCAAGGCGACGAUCCGUAACUGGUCUGAGAGGAUGAUCAGUCACACUGGAACUGAGACACGGUCCAGACUCCUACGGGAGGCAGCAGUGGGGAAUAUUGGACAAUGGGCGAAAGCCUGAUCCAGCCAUGCCGCGUGUGUGAAGAAGGUCUUCGGAUUGUAAAGCACUUUAAGUUGGGAGGAAGGGCAGUAAGUUAAUACCUAGCUGUUUUGACGUUACCAACAGAAUAAGCACCGGCUAACUUCGUG
rnacentral:rRNA from 1 species